rnacentral:rRNA from 1 species
AGAGUUUGAUCCUGGCUCAGGACGAACGCUGGCGGCGUGCCUAAUACAUGCAAGUCGAACGGAGUUAAGGGCUUCGGCUUUUAACUUAGUGGCGAACGGGUGAGUAACGCGUGAGCAACCUGACUCAAAGAGGGGGACAACAGCUGGAAACGGCUGCUAAUACCGCAUAAGACCACAAUGUGGCAUCACGAAGGGGUCAAAGAAAUUCGCUUUGAGAGGGGCUCGCGUCCCAUUAGAUAGUUGGUGAGGUAACGGCCCACCAAGUCCGCGAUGGGUAGCCGAGCUGAGAGGCUGAUCGGCCACACUGGAACUGAGGCACGGUCCAGACUCCUACGGGAGGCAGCAGUAGGGAAUAUUGGGCAAUGGGCGCAAGCCUGACCCAGCAACGCCGCGUGAGGGAAGAAGGUUUUCGGAUUGUAAACCUCUGUCCUAUGUGACGAAGGAAGUGACGGUAGCAUAGGAGGAAGCCCCGGCUAACUACGUGCCAGCAGCCGCGGUAAUACGUAGGGGGCGAGCGUUGUCCGGAAUUACUGGGCGUAAAGGGAGCGUAGGCGGCAAAGCAAGUCAGAAGUGAAAGCCCGCGGCUCAACUGCGGGACUGCUUUUGAAACUGUUUAGCUAGAGUACUGGAGGGGCAAGCGGAAUUCCUGGUGUAGCGGUGAAAUGCGUAGAUAUCAGGAAGAACACCGGAGGCGAAGGCGGCUUGCUGGACAGAUACUGACGCUGAGGCUCGAAGGCGUGGGGAGCAAACAGGAUUAGAUACCCUGGUAGUCCACGCGGUAAACGAUGAAUGCUAGAUAUUGGCUUCCAUAGGGAGUCGGUGUCGCAGUUAACGCAAUAAGCAUUCCACCUGGGGAGCACGUUCGCAAGAAUGAAACUCAAAGGAAUUGACGGGGACCCGCACAAGCGGUGGAGCAUGUGGUUUAAUUCGAAGCAACGCGAAAAACCUUACCAGAUCUUGACAUCCCCCUGACCGGCCUUUAAUAGGGCCCUUCCUUCGAGACAGGGGAGACAGGUGGUGCAUGGUUGUCGUCAGCUCGUGUCGUGAGAUGUUGGGUUAAGUCCCGCAACGAGCGCAACCCUUGUUCUCAGUAGCCAGCAGUACGGCUGGGCACUCUGAGGAGACUGCCGGAGACAAUCCGGAGGAAGGUGGGGAUGACGUCAAAUCAUCAUGCCCCUUACGAUCUGGGCUACACACGUGCUACAAUGGCGCUCAACAAAGAGAAGCAACCCUGCGAAGGUGAGCGAACCUCAAAAACAGCGUCUCAGUUCGGACUGCAGGCUGCAACCCGCCUGCACGAAGCCGGAAUCGCUAGUAAUCGCGAAUCAGCAUGUCGCGGUGAAUACGUUCCCGGGUCUUGUACACACCGCCCGUCACACCAUGGGAGUCGGUAACGCCCGAAGUCAGUGACCUAACCAAUCUGGAAGGAGCUGCCGAAGGCGGGACCGGUAACUGGGGUGAAGUCGUAACAAGGU